ACCUAGCUGGCUCAGUCAUAGAACAUGAGACUCAAUCUCAGAGUUGUGGGUUCAAGUCCCAUAUUGGGUG
rnacentral:tRNA from 1 species